GGUCAAGAUAGAAAGGGCUGACGGUGGAAACCUUGGCACACAGAGGCGAAGAAGGACGUGGCGACCGACGAUAAACUCCGGGGAGCUGGAAGCGAGCGACGAGCCAGGGGUGUCCGAAUGGGGGAACCCAGAAACAGCCCACUGAAUCAAAUAGGUGGGCAUGAGCGAACCGGGCGAACUGAAACAUCUUAGUAGCCCGAGGAAAAGAAAGCAAAAGCGAUUUCCCGAGUAGUGGUGAGCGAAAGGGAAACAGCCUAAACCAGCCGGUUUACCGAUUGGGGUAGUGGGACAGCGACACUGGACUUAGAGAGUUAGACAAAGCAGAUGAAACCUGCACCAGAGAGGGUGAAAGUCCCGUAGUCGAAAACUCAAAAAGCCUAGCUGAAUCCCGAGUAGCACGGAGCCCGUGAAAGUCCGUGUGAAUCCGCCUCGACCACGAGGUAAGGCUAAAUACUCCUGUGUGACCGAUAGAGAAACAGUACCGUGAGGGAAAGGUGAAAAGAACCCCGGAAGGGGAGUGAAAUAGAACCUGAAACCGUCAGCUUACAAGCAGUGGGAGUCCGAUUAAACGGAUGACCGCGUGCCUGUUGAAGCAUGAGCCUGCGAGUUAAAGGCAAUGGCAGGUUAAGACAGAAAAUGUCGAAGCCCAAGCGAAAGCGAGUCUGAAGAGGGCGAAGUCGUCAUUGUUUUUAGACCCGAACCCGGGUGAUCUAACCCAUGUCCAGGAUGAAGCUUGGGUAAAACCAAUUGAAGGUCCGAACCGACCGAUGUUGAAAAAUCGGCGGAUGAGGUGUGGUUAGGGGUGAAAUGCCAAUCGAACCCGGAGCUAGCUGGUUCUCCCCGAAAUGUGUUGAGGCACAGCGGUUGUGGAAAAAUCUGGGGGGUAAAGCACUGUUUCGGUGCGGGCUGCGAGAGCGGUACCAAAUCGAGACAAACUCUGAAUACCCAGAGGAAGAACAACCAGUCAGACGGUGGGGGAUAAGCUCCAUCGUCAAGAGGGAAACAGCCCAGACCACCAGCUAAGGUCCCCAAAUCACCACUAGGUGAGAAAGGAGGUGGGAAUGCCGAGACAACCAGGAGGUUUGCCUAGAAGCAGCCAACCUUAAAAGAGUGCGUAAUAGCUCACUGGUCAAGCGUUGCUGCGCCGAAAAUGAACGGGGCUAAGUGGUGUACCGAAGCUGUGGAAUAUAAUUUAUUGUAUUGGUAGGGGAGCGUUCUGGCGUAGGGAGAAGCACUAGCGGAAGCAGGUGUGGACGAACCAGAAGUGAGAAUGUCGGCUUGAGUAGCGAAAAUGUAGGUGAGAAUCCUACACCCCGAAACCCUAAGGGUUCCUCCGCACGGCUCGUCCGCGGAGGGUGAGUCAGGGCCUAAGGCGAGGCUGAAGAGCGUAGUCGAUGGACAACCGGGCGAAAAAUCCCGUACCUUAGGUAAAAUUGUUCAGGGGAACGGAGAAGGUGUGUGCUAGCCCGGGAUGAUGGUUACCGGUGCAACCGUACGAGGUGUUGAGGUCUGGAGAAAAACAGACUGAGCUAAGGCGGGAGUCCGACCCUUUACGAAGGGGAAGUAGAGAAGCAUCAAGCUUCCAAGAAAAGCCCUAAAACCGUUAAUUUACCAACGCCUGUACCCGAAACCGACACAGGUAGGGAGGUUGAGAAAACUAAGGGGCGCGAGAUAACUCUCUCUAAGGAACUCGGCAAAAUGGCUCCGUAACUUCGGGAGAAGGAGUGCUUACGCAAGUAAGCCGCAGUGAAGAGGCCCAGGCGACUGUUUACCAAAAACACAGGUCUCCGCCAACUCGUAAGAGGAAGUAUGGGGGCUGACGCCUGCCCAGUGCCGGAAGGUUAAGGAAGUCGGUCAGGAGCAAUCUGAAGCUGAUGACUGAAGCCCCGGUGAACGGCGGCCGUAACUAUAACGGUCCUAAGGUAGCGAAAUUCCUUGUCGGGUAAGUUCCGACCCGCACGAAAGGCGUAACGAUCUGGGCACUGUCUCGGAGAGAGACUCGGCGAAAUAGAAUUGUCUGUGAAGAUACGGACUACCUGCACCUGGACAGAAAGACCCUAUGAAGCUUUACUGUAUCCUGGAAUUGGGUUCGGGCUUUGCUUGCGCAGAAUAGGUGGGAGGCGUGGAAGUCAUCCUUGUGGGGAUGAUGGAGCCAUCGGUGAGAUACCACUCUAGUAGAGCUAGAAUUCUAACUCUGACCCGUGAAUCCGGGUCGAAGACAGUUUCAGGGGGGCAGUUUGACUGGGGCGGUCGCCUCCUAAAAGGUAACGGAGGCGCGCAAAGGUUCCCUCAGAAUGGUUGGAAAUCAUUCGCAGAGUGUAAAGGCAUAAGGGAGCUUGACUGUGAGACCUACAAGUCGAACAGGGUGGAAACACGGCCUUAGUGAUCCGACGGUACUGUGUGGAAAGGCCGUCGCUCAACGGAUAAAAGUUACUCUAGGGAUAACAGGCUGAUCUCCCCCAAGAGUUCACAUCGACGGGGAGGUUUGGCACCUCGAUGUCGGCUCAUCGCAACCUGGGGCGGAAGUACGUCCCAAGGGUUGGGCUGUUCGCCCAUUAAAGCGGUACGUGAGCUGGGUUCAGAACGUCGUGAGACAGUUCGGUCCAUAUCCGGUGCAGGCGUAAGAGCAUUGAGAGGAGCCUUCCCUAGUACGAGAGGACCGGGAAGGACGCACCGCUGGUGUACCUGUUAUCGUGCCAACGGUAAACGCAGGGUAGCUAUGUGCGGAGUGGAUAACCGCUGAAAGCAUCUAAGUGGGAAGCCCACCUCAAGAUGAUUGCUCUCACCACUUUUUGUGGGUAAGGUCACGGGCAGAACACCCGUUUAUAGGUGUUAGGUCGAAGUUCAGCAAUGAAUGUAGCCAAGACACACUAACAGACCGAGGGCUUGACCUC
rfam:Planktothrix agardhii NIVA-CYA 126/8 chromosome, whole genome shotgun sequence.